rnacentral:rRNA from 1 species
AACGAACGCUGGCGGCGCGCCUAAUACAUGCAAGUCGAGCGAGAAGACGUAGCAAUACGUUUGUAAAGCGGCGAACGGGUGAGGAAUACAUGGGUAACCUACCCUCGAGUGGGGAAUAACUAGCCGAAAGGUUAGCUAAUACCGCGUACGCUUCUUGGACUUCGGUUCAGGGAGGAAAGCGAUACCGUGGGUAUCGCGCUCUUGGAUGGGCUCAUGUCCUAUCAGCUUGUUGGUGAGGUAACGGCUCACCAAGGCUUCGACGGGUAGCUGGCCUGAGAGGACGAUCAGCCACACUGGCACUGCGACACGGGCCAGACUCCUACGGGAGGCAGCAGUAAGGAAUAUUGCGCAAUGGGCGAAAGCCUGACGCAGCGACGCCGCGUGGGGGAUGAAGGUCUUCGGAUUGUAAACCCCUUUCGGGAGGGAAGAUGGAAUGGGGUAACCCAUUCGGACGGUACCUCCAGAAGCAGCCACGGCUAACUUCGUGC